rnacentral:rRNA from 1 species
CCCUGGUAGUCCACGCCGUAAACGAUGAGUGCUAAGUGUUGGAGGGUUUCCGCCCUUCAGUGCUGCAGCUAACGCAUUAAGCACUCCGCCUGGGGAGUACGACCGCAAGGUUGAAACUCAAAGGAAUUGACGGGGGCCCGCACAAGCGGUGGAGCAUGUGGUUUAAUUCGAAGCAACGCGAAGAACCUUACCAGGUCUUGACAUCCUUUGACCACUCUAGAGAUAGAGCUUCCCCUUCGGGGGCAAAGUGACAGGUGGUGCAUGGUUGUCGUCAACUUGUGUCGUGAGAUGUUGGGUUAAGUCCCGCAACGAGCGCAACCCUUAUUGUUAGUUGCCAUCAUUCAGUUGGGCACUCUAGCAAGACUGCCGGUGACAAACCGGAGGAAGGUGGGGAUGACGUCAAAUCAUCAUGCCCCUUAUGACCUGGGCUACACACGUGCUACAAUGGGAAGUACAACGAGUUGCGAAGUCGCGAGGCUAAGCUAAUCUCUUAAAGCUUCUCUCAGUUCGGAUUGCAGGCUGCAACUCGCCUGCAUGAAGCCGGAAUCGCUAGUAAUCGCGGAUCAGCACGCCGCGGUGAAUACGUUCCCGGGCCUUGUACACACCGCCCGUCACACCACGAGAGUUUGUAACACCCGAAGUCGGUGAGGUAACCUUUUUGGAGCCAGCCGCCUAAGGUGGGAUAGAUGAUUGGGGUGAAGUCGUA